rnacentral:rRNA from 1 species
UACGUAGGGGGCAAGCGUUGUCCGGAUUUAUUGGGCGUAAAGCGCGUGUAGGCGGCCACACAGGUCCGCUGUGAAAACUCGAGGCUCAACCUCGAGCUGUCGGUGGAAACCGUGUGGCUAGAGUCCGGAAGAGGAGACUGGAAUUCCCGGUGUAGCGGUGGAAUGCGCAGAUAUCGGGAGGAACACCCGUAGCGAAGGCGGCACUCUGGGCCGGUACUGACGCUGAGGAGCGAAAGCGUGGGGAGCAAACAGG